UAGGGAGUAUUGGACAAUGGGGGCAACCCUGAUCCAGCCAUGCCGCGUGAGUGAAGAAGGCCCUCGGGUUGUAAAGCUCUUUUGUCCGGAAAGAAAAGCUUCGGGUUAAUACCCCGGGGUUCUGACGGUACCGGCAGAAUAAGCACCGGCUAACUUCGUGCCAGCAGCCGCGGUAAUACGAAGGGUGCAAGCGUUACUCGGAAUUACUGGGCGUAAAGCGUGCGUAGGUGGUUGUUUAAGUCUGAUGUGAAAGCCCUGGGCUCAACCUGGUAAGUGAAGUGGAAACUGGGCAGCUAGAGGGCGGUAGAGGGUAGUCGAAUUCCCUGUGACGCAGUGAAAUGCAUAGAGAUCGUGGGGAACAUCUGUAGCGAAGGCGACUGCCUGGACCAGCACUGACACU
rnacentral:rRNA from 1 species